AAGAGAGAAGAAAAGAAAGGUAAUUGAUUUUUUUUUUUUUUUUUUUCUGUUUGUAAUCGGGCCAAAUGGACUGGGUCUAGUGGGUUGAGUAGAGUAAUCUUUUAUUUUUGGUUGGAUUGGGCUUUAUAUUUAGGCAUUAGUAGAUAUGUUUUUAAGUUUUAGCAUAAAUGGGACACUUACUCAAAAGUGUCCCAAACAUGUGUCCCUAUAACCUAAUUCUGUUGUAGCGAUAAGAGACUUAGACACUAGUAAUAAUAACUCCGCUUAAGCAUUUUGAGCCUGUAUUUUGGCCCAACGAGUUAUUAUUGCUAGUGGGCUAGGUCGUUAUAUUUGGUAUUAGAGCCAGUUCACUGGCCGAAAAUGUGUGGCAAGUCUCAGCUGAUCGAGUCAGGUUCUGAAAGACAAGGUGAUAGGUUAUGUCGGAGUCUGAAUGACAAGGUGACCGGCUAUGCCAGGGUCUGGACGACAAGGCUAGCAAGAGGAGUCUCACAUCGCCUAGUGAUGUUGGCCUAUGUGUGUGAUUGGACUGACGAGGACAUCAGGGCCUUAACGAGGGGAAUUUAUCACACUCUAAUAAUCCCACAUCGGAUAGAAAUGAGAGUGUGAUUGGGUAUAUAAGAGACUUAGACACUAGUAAUAAUAACUGGGCAUAAGUAUUUUGGGCCGGUGUUUGAGCCUAAUGAAUUAUUGUUGCUAGUGUGGGUCGUUA
rnacentral:lncRNA from 1 species